CAAUCGGUUCUCCAUAGAACCACAAAAACAGCAAAAAAAGAGUUCU
rfam:Larimichthys crocea isolate SSNF unplaced genomic scaffold scaffold27, whole genome shotgun sequence.